rnacentral:rRNA from 1 species
GACGAACCGUGCGAACGUUAUUCGGAAUCACUGGGCUUAAAGCGCGUGUAGGCGGGUCGGCGCGUCGGUUGCUGAAAAGCCCCCCGGCUCAACCGGGGGAAGCGGCGCCGAAACGGCCGGCCUGGAGGGGGGGUAGGGGGGACCUGGAACUUCCGGUGGAGCGGUGAAAUGCGUUUGAGAUCGGAAGGAACGCCCGUGGCGAAAGCGAGGUCCUGGACCCUUUCUGACGCUGAGACACGAAAGC